rnacentral:rRNA from 1 species
UGGGAUUGAGAACGGCCCAGACUCCUACGGGGGGCAGCAGUGAGGAAUUUUUGUCAAUGGGGGAAACCCUGAACGAGCAACGCCGCGUGCAGGAAGAAGGUUUUCGGAUCGUAAACUGCUUUUCUCGGGGAAGAGAACGGACGGUACCCGAGGAAGAAGCCCCGGCUAACUACGUGCCAGCAGCCGCGGUAAUACGUAGGGGGCAAGCGUUGUCCGGAUUUAUUGGGCGUAAAGAGCUCGUAGGCGGCCUGUCGCGUCGGAUGUGAAAGCCCGGGGCUUAACUCCGGGUCUGCAUUCGAUACGGGCAGGCUAGAGUGUGGUAGGGGAGAUCGGAAUUCCUGGUGUAGCGGUGAAAUGCGCAGAUAUCAGGAGGAACACCGGUGGCGAAGGCGGAUCUCUGGGCCAUUACUGACGCUGAGGAGCGAAAGCGUGGGGAGCGAACAGGAUUAGAUACCCUGGUAGUCCACGCCGUAAACGUUGGGAACUAGGUGUGGGUCACAUUCCACGUGGUCCGCGCCGCAGCUAACGCAUUAAGUUCCCCGCCUGGGGAGUACGGCCGCAAGGCUAAAACUCAAAGGAAUUGACG